rnacentral:rRNA from 1 species
ACGGAAUAGAUACCCGGGUAGUCCACGCCCUAAACGAUGUCUACUAGUUGUUGGUGGAGUAAAAUCCAUGAGUAAACGCAGCUAAACGCGUGAAGUAGACCGCCUGGGGAGUACGGUCGCAAGAUUAAAACUCAAAUGAAUUGACGGGGGCCCGCACAAGCGGUGGAUUAUGUGGAUUAAAUUCGAUGCAACGCGAAAAACCUUACCUGGCCUUGACAUGUAACGAACUUUCCAGAGAUGGAUUGGUGCUCGAAAGAGAACGUUAACACAGGUGCUGCAUGGCUGUCGUCAGCUCGUGUCGUGAGAUGUUGGGUUAAGUCCCGCAACGAGCGCAACCCUUGCCAUUAAUUGCCAUCAUUUAGUUGGGCACUUUAAUGGGACUGCCGGUGACAAACCGGAGGAAGUGGGGAUGACGUCAAGUCCUCAUGGCCCUUAUGGCCAGGGCUUCACACGUAAUACAAUGGUCGGUACAGAGGGUUGCCAACCCGCAGGGGGAGCCAAUCCCAGAAAGCCGAUCGUAGUCCGGAUUGUAGUCUGCAACUCGACUAC